rnacentral:misc_RNA from 1 species
GAAUAUAGAAGAGGAAGAAGCCAACACACAAUAAUCCAAAUUGUACACUUCAACUCAAUCAACUAACUAUAAGAAUAUACAACACUAAGUUGAUUUUUUAUUUCAGCCAUCAAUUGAGAAGUUGCAAGAGAUGACUACUCACAAAGCUCAUUGCUUGAUCUUGCCAUAUCCAGUCCAAGGUCAUAUCAACCCAAUGCUUCAAUUCUCCAAACGUUUACGAUCCAAACGCGUUAAAAUCACUAUAGCACUCACAAAAUCCUUUUUGAAAAACAUGAAGGAAUUGCCAACUUCUAUGUCAAUUGAGGCCAUAUCUGAUGGCUAUGAUGAUGGUGGUCGCGAUCAAGCAGGAUCUUUCGUGGCCUAUAUUACACGAUUCAAAGAAAUUGGUUCGGAUACUCUGUCUCAACUUAUUCAAAAAUUGGCAAUUAGUGGAUGUCCUGUAAAUUGCAUAGUAUAUGAUCCAUUCCUCCCUUGGGCUGUUGAAGUUGCAAAACAAUUUGGAUUGAUUAGUGCUGCAUUUUUUACACAAAAUUGUGUAGUGGAUAACAUUUAUUACCAUGUUCAUAAAGGGGUAAUAAAACUUCCCCCUACUCAAAAUGAUGAAAAAAUCAUAAUUCCUGGAUUUUCAAGUCCAAUUAAGGCAUCAGAUGUACCUAAUUUUGUUAUUAAUCCUGAAGGAGAAAGAAUACUUGAAAUGUUGGUGAAUCAAUUCUCAAAUCUUGACAAAGUAGAUUGGGUCCUAAUCAAUAGCUUUUAUGAGUUGGAGAAAGAGGUAAUUGAUUGGAUGUCGAAGAUAUAUCGAAUAAAGACAAUUGGACCAACAAUACCAUCAAAGUACUUGGACAAGAGACUACAUGAUGAUAAAGAGUAUGGGCUUAGUAUGUUCAAGCCAAUGACAAAUGAAUGCCUAAAUUGGUUAAACCAUCAACCAAUUAGCUCAGUGUUGUAUGUAUCAUUUGGAAGUUUAGCCAAACUAGGAAGUGAGCAAAUGGAAGAAUUGGCAUGGGGUUUGAAGAAUAGCAACAAGAGCUUCUUGUGGGUUGUUAGGUCUACUGAAGAGCCCAAACUCCCCAACAACUUUAUUGAGGAAUUAACAAGUGAAAAAGGCUUAGUGGUGUCAUGGUGUCCACAAUUACAAGUGUUGGAACAUGAGUCGAUAGGGUGUUUUCUGACGCACUGUGGAUGGAAUUCGACACUGGAAGCGAUUAGUUUGGGAGUGCCAAUGGUGGC